AAACACUUGCCAAAUAUUAGUUUUUUGCUUUUUUCACAGAAAAACAAAUAUGAACGCUAACUUUGGCCUGUGUUUGUGACUAAGUGGCUACUAAAAAAGACUAAACAUACCCCACUUUCAGUACUUUGGGUUGUCUACUUUUUCAAAUGGUAUGCCAUUAUGGGGGUAAUUCUCAUUCCUGGGCUACCACACGGUCUCAAAGGUAACAUUACCAAUCUGGCAAAUUUCAAUUUGAAAAUGGAACGUUCUAUAUUUGGCCCUGUAACUUUCCAAAACACCUUAAAACAUGUUAAUGGGGGGUACUGUUGUACUUGUGAGACAUUGCUGAUUACAAAUAUGUGCAUUUUUUUGCAGUAAAACCUAACAGUAUUAUGACAUUCACAGAUAAAAUGUCAAAUUUUAAAAAAAAUCCUAUUUUCUCGCAUUUUUUUUAAUUUUAUUCAUAAUAAAUUAUGUUCCAUAUAUGAAUAGUUAAUGAUAAAUUAAAGCCCUGUUUCUCCUGCACAAAAUUAUAUAUAAUAAGUGUGGGUGCACUUAAUAUGACAGCGGUGAUAUACGGUUGAACAGACAUAUAGCGUAAAUUCCAGGUUUUUUUACGUUUUGUUUUGAUCAGAACGUACACUAUUGACUCUGUCCUGAAGGGGUUAAACGUGUAUUGUGAAUGCAAGAUUGUUUAAAAACUGUCUACCAUUCAGAAACUCACACAAUAGUAAAGCCUUUCUCAUGCAGACUCAAAAUAAUACACCCAUCCUUUUUUCAAUGGGAGUAAUUUACUGUAAUUUAUUUACUGUUUUCCUAUUCUUAUUUGGUAAAGUACCGUCAUAAAUGUUG